GGGGUUGUAGCUCAGUGAUGGAGCCCUUGCCUGGCAUGCAUGAGGCACUGGGUUCAAUCCUCAGCACCUCA
rnacentral:tRNA from 1 species